rnacentral:snoRNA from 1 species
UGGGAGUGAUGAAGACUCAAAGAGCCUGACCAACCUUAUGCGUGGAGGCCAAAGCUGAUUUAAUGAGCCUGAUCC